rnacentral:rRNA from 1 species
GACGAACGCUGGCGGCGUGCCUAAUACAUGCAAGUAGAACGCACAGUUUAUACCGUAGCUUGCUACACCAUAAACUGUGAGUUGCGAACGGGUGAGUAACGCGUAGGUAACCUGCCUGGUAGCGGGGGAUAACUAUUGGAAACGAUAGCUAAUACCGCAUAAUAUUGAUUAUUGCAUGAUAAUUGAUUGAAAGAUGCUAUUGCAUCACUACCAGCUGGACCUGCGUUGUAUUAGCUAGUAGGUGAGGUAACGGCUCACCUAGGCGACGAUACAUAGCCGACCGGAGAGGAUGAUCGGCCACACUGGGACUGGGACACGGCCCAGACUCCUACAGGAAGCAGCAGUAGGGAAUCUUCGGCAAUGGACGAAAGUCUGACCGAGCAACGCCGCGUGAGGGAAGAAGGUUGUCGGAUCGUAAAGCUCUGUUGUAAGGGAAGAACGGGUGUGAGAGUGGAAAGUUCACACUGUGACGGUAUCUUACCAGAAAGGGACGGCUAACUACGUG